rnacentral:misc_RNA from 1 species
UUGUGGAGGGGGACGCCGAAGGUGGGGCUAAUGACUGGGGUGAAGUCGUAACAAGGUAGCCGUACCGGAAGGUGCGGCUGGAUCACCUCCUAAUAGGGAGACAACAAAAUGUUUAAUAUUAUUAUUUUGUCACCUUAGGUCGAUCGGUAUCUCACAUCCUUAAUUUAUUAAGGAUUUCAUUUCCUAAGUUUUUCUAGGUCACACCCAUUAUUUUUCCUGGGCCAUUAGCUCAGGUGGUUAGAGCGCACCCCUGAUAAGGGUGAGGUCCCUGGUUCAAGUCCAGGAUGGCCCAUAUCUCUAUGUUGGGGGUAUAGCUCAGUUGGUAGAGCGCCUGCUUUGCAAGCAGGAUGUCAGCGGUUCGAGUCCGCUUACCUCCACUGAUUACCACCUCUUCCAUAUUUAUGAUGAAGGAAAUGUUUUGAGUUGUGAUCAAAUUCUGAACGAUUCUAGCUUCCUAAUGAAAUCAUUAAGAUGCUGGACUCAUUGAAUUAAUUUCAUUGUUUUCAGAGAACCUUGACAACUGCAUAGAUUAUUUUUAAAGACAAUAAGCAUCUUUAAUGAUGCAGAUUUAUUAUUUGUGCGAAUGCAUUAAAUAACAAUUCUAUUAAGCUGAUGCUUCAAUUAUUGAAGUUAUUGGUCAAGCUACAA